rnacentral:rRNA from 1 species
UAACGCGUUAAGUACCCCACCUGGGGAGUACGGGCGCAAGGCUAAAACUCAACGUAAUUGACGGGGCCCGCACAAGCGUGGAGCAUGUCGCUCAAUUCGAUGCAACGCGAAGAACCUUAUCCAGGUUUGACAUCUUUUGACUACCAUGGAAACAUGGAUUUCCUGUUAAGGGACAGAGUGACAGGUGCUGCAUGGCUGUCGUCAGCUCGUGUCGUGAGAUGUCGGGUUAAGUCCCGCAACGAGCGCAACCCCUGUUCUUAGUUACCAGCGGGUAAUGCCGGGGACUCUAAGGAGACUGCCUGCGAUGAGCGGGAGGAAGGUGGGGAUGACGUCAAGUCCGCAUGGCCCUUAUGCCCUGGGCUGCACACGUGCUACAAUGGUCGGUACAACGGGCAGCGAAAUCGCGAGAUGGAGCAAAUCCCUAAAAGCCGGCCCCAGUUCGGAUUGGAGUCUGCAACUCGACUCCAUGAAUGCAGGAAUCGCUAGUAAUCGCGGAUCAGAAUGCCGCGGUGAAUACGUUCCCGGGCCUUGUACACACUGCCCGUCAAGCCACGAAAUGCCGGUA